rnacentral:rRNA from 1 species
GAUGAACGCUGGCGGCGUGCCUAAUACAUGCAAGUCGAGCGAACAGACGAGGAGCUUGCUCCUCUGACGUUAGCGGCGGACGGGUGAGUAACACGUGGAUAACCUACCUAUAAGACUGGGAUAACUUCGGGAAACCGGAGCUAAUACCGGAUAAUAUAUUGAACCGCAUGGUUCAAUAGUGAAAGACGGUUUUGCUGUCACUUAUAGAUGGAUCCGCGCCGCAUUAGCUAGUUGGUAAGGUAACGGCUUACCAAGGCGACGAUGCGCAGCCGACCUGAGAGGGUGAUCGGCCACACUGGAACUGAGACACGGUCCAGACUCCUACGGGAGGCAGCAGUAGGGAAUCUUCCGCAAUGGGCGAAAGCCUGACGGAGCAACGCCGCGUGAGUGAUGAAGGUCUUCGGAUCGUAAAACUCUGUUAUUAGGGAAGAACAAAUGUGUAAGUAACUAUGCACGUCUUGACGGUACCUAAUCAGAAAGCCACGGCUAACUACGU